rnacentral:rRNA from 1 species
UACGUAGGGUGCGAGCGUUAAUCGGAAUUACUGGGCGUAAAGCGUGCGUAGGCGGCUGCGCAAGUCGGGUGUGAAACCCCGGGGCUCAACCCCGGAACUGCAUCCGAUACUGCGUGGCUAGAGGUAGGUAGGGGAGAUCGGAAUUCCUGGUGUAGCGGUGAAAUGCGCAGAUAUCAGGAGGAACACCGGUGGCGAAGGCGGAUCUCUGGGCCUUACCUGACGCUCAGGCACGAAAGCUAGGGGAGCGAACAGG